rnacentral:rRNA from 1 species
CGGAAUCAUUGGGCGUAAAGAGUUCGUAGGUGGCAUGUAAAGUCCGGUGUUAAAUGCAGAAGCUCAACUUCUGUUCGGCACUGGAUACUUGCAAGCUGGAAUGCGGUAGAGGUAAAGGGAAUUCCUGGUGUAGCGGUGAAAUGCGUAGAUAUCAGGAGGAACAUCGGUGGCGUAAGCGCUUUACUGGGCCGUAAUUGACACUGAGGAACGAAAGCCGGGGUAGCAAAUGGGAUUAGAUACCCCAGUAGUCCCGGCCGUAAACGAUGGAUACUAGGUGUUGCGGGUAUCGACCCCUGCAGUGCCGCAGCUAACGCGUUAAGUAUCCCGCCUGGGGAGUACGCACGCAAGUGUGAAACUCAAAGGAAUUGACGGGGACCCGCACAAGCGGUGGAACAUGUGGUUUAAUUCGAAGCAACGCGAAGAACCUUACCAGGGCUUGACAUCUGAGGAACUUUUGUGAAAGCAGAAGGUGCUCUUCGGAGAGCCUCAAGACAGGUGGUGCACGGUUGUCGUCAGCUCGUGUCGUGAGAUGUUGGGUUAAGUCCCGCAACGAGCGCAACCCUCGUCGUUAGUUGGAUGUAUCGGUAUACUGGUGCAUUCCUCUCUAGCGAGACUGCCGGUGAUAAACCGGAGGAAGGUGGGGACGACGUCAAAUCAUCAUGCCCCUUAUGCUCUGGGCUACACACGUGUUACAAUGGCCGGUACAACGAGCCGCCAACUCGCGAGAGUGAGCAAAUCUCUUAAAACCGGUCUCAGUUCGGAUUGCACUCUGCAACUCGAGUGCAUGAAGUCGGAAUCGCUAGUAAACGCAGAUCAGCACGCUGCGUUGAAUACGUUCCCGGGUCUUGUACACACCGCCCGUCACACCAUGGAAGUCGACCACGCCCGAAGUACGUGAGCUAACCUUUUGGAAGCAGCGUCCUAAGGCAGGGUUGGUGACUGGGGUGAAGUCGUAACAAGGUAGCCGUACCGGAAGGUGUGGCUG